UGAUGCAGCCAUGCCGCGUGGAGGAAGACACCCCUAUGGGGCGUAAACUCCUUUUCUGAGUAGAAGAAACCCCUGUAUGUUCAGGGUGUGACGGUAUCUCAGGAAUAAGCACCGGCUAACUCCGUGCCAGCAGCCGCGGUAAUACGGAGG
rnacentral:rRNA from 1 species